AGCGUGUGGUUUAAUUCGAUGCUACACGAAGAACCUUACCCGGGUUUGACAUGCAAGUGGUAGUGAUCCGAAAGGUGAACGACCCGCAAGGGAGCUUUGCACAGGUGUUGCAUGGCUGUCGUCAGCUCGUGCUGUGAAGUGUCGGGUUAAGUCCCUUAACGAGCGCAACCCCUAUCGUUAGUUGCCAGCGCGUCAUGGCGGGGACUCUAGCGAGACUGCCGGUGUCAAACCGGAGGAAGGUGGGGAUGACGUCAAGUCCUCAUGGCCCUUAUGUCCAGGGAUGCAAACGUGCUACAAUGGCGUGUACAGAGCGAUGCGAGGCCGCAAGGCGGAGCAAAUCGCAAAAAGCACGCCCCAGUUCGGAUUGCAGGCUGCAACUCGCCUGCAUGAAGCCGGAAUCGCUAGUAAUCGGAGAUCAGCUACGCUCCGGUGAAUACGUUCCUGAGCCUU
rnacentral:rRNA from 1 species